rfam:Schistosoma margrebowiei strain Zambia genome assembly, scaffold: SMRZ_scaffold0001654
UUCCAGCUGACGAGUCCCAAAUAGAACGAAACACGUGUCCUGGAU